GGAUGAACUAAGCCAUGCGAGUCAUUGUAGCAAUACAAGGCAGACGGCUCAGUAACGCGUAGUCAAUCUACCCUAUGGACGGGAAUAACCUCGGGAAACUGAGAAUAAUGCCCGAUAGAACAUUAUACCUGGAACGGUUUAUGUUUCAAAUGAUUUAUCGCCGUAGGAUGGGACUGCGGCCUAUCAGUUUGUUGGUGAGGUAAUGGCCCACCAAGACUAUUACAGGUACGGGCUCUGAGAGGAGUAGCCCGGAGAUGGGUACUGAGACACGGACCCAGGCCCUAUGGGGCGCAGCAGGCGAGAAAACCUUGCAAUGUGCGAAAGCACGACAAGGUUAAUCCGAGUGGUUUCUGCUAAAGAAACCUUUUGCUAGUCCUAGAAACACUAGUGAAUAAGGGGUGGGCAAGUUCUGGUGUCAGCCGCCGCGGUAAAACCAGCACCUCAAGUGGUCAGGAUGAUUAUUGGGCCUAAAGCAUCCGUAGCCCGUUUUGUAAGUUUUCGGUUAAAUCCAUACGCUCAACGUAUGGGCUGCCGGGAAUACUGCAUAACUAGGAAGUGGGAGAGGUAGACGGUACUCGGUAGGAAGGGGUAAAAUCCUUUGAUCUAUUGAUGACCACCUGUGGCGAAGGCGGUCUACCAGAACACGUUCGACGGUGAGGGAUGAAAGCUGGGGGAGCAAACCGGAUUAGAUACCCGGGUAGUCCCAGCUGUAAACUAUGCAAACUCAGUGAUGCAUUGGCUUGUGGCCAAUGCAGUGCUGCAGGGAAGCCGUUAAGUUUGCCGCCUGGGAAGUACGUACGCAAGUAUGAAACUUAAAGGAAUUGGCGGGGGAGCACCACAAGGGGUGAAGCCUGCGGUUCAAUUGGAGU
rnacentral:rRNA from 1 species